CUCUCUCCUCUCUAUCUCUCUUGCGCGAACAUCAACCUCCAAAAGCUACAAAAACGCUGGUCGAGAUCUCCAACUCCACUACUCCUCAACCCCCCUAUAGGUGAUAACUUGAACCGGACAAACAUGCAAGGACUCGAACAAUUCACGGCAGUUUUACUUAACUCCGGCGAUGUUGCUUCAAUGGUGGCAUGAUUGGCGACCUCAUUCACAUAGAUGGAAGCAGUAGUGAAGCACACACAUAUUUCUGGUGGCUGACGGGUCGGAUCUUGUAACCGGAUCUAGAUCUGGGUCUUGGGCUUGAACUAACAUCUUGUAAUUGGGUUGAUAUUUGUAACUGGGU